UGCAUCCGCUAGGGGUGUUGCCGCGACUCCGGACCGCAAGGCCGACAGCACGGUGACUGAGAAAGUCCCUUUGAACCUGAUUGAGGUAAUCCUCGCGCAGGGAAGCCGCUCCAGUUGUCC
rnacentral:ncRNA from 2 species